UACCAGCACCCCGAGCGGUCGGGACGAUUAUUGGGCCUAAAGCAUCCGUAGCCGGUCAUGCAAGUCCUCCGUUAAAUCCACCUGCUUAACAGAUGGGCUGCGGAGGAUACUACAAGGCUAGGAGGCGGAAGAGGCAAGCGGUACUCAGUGGGUAGGGGUAAAAUCCUCUGAUCCAUUGAAGACCACCAGUGGCGAAGGCGGCUUGCCAGAACGCACUCGACGGUGAGGGAUGAAAGCUGGGGGAGCAAACCGG
rnacentral:rRNA from 1 species